rnacentral:lncRNA from 1 species
GGUCAGAGGGAUUCGCUCCACAAACAGAUGGCUCACAGAAUGAAAAUGGUAUGUGUAUACCAGGGUCUUGCUAUUGUAUCUCAUGGAGGUCUUUUCUUACUUUUUAAAUGCUUUACACAAUAAUCAAGAACACAUCUUGUCUUCUUGCAUCAGGGGAAACAGCUCAUGAUGGAUCUCAAAUAGAAUCUCCUGGUGAUGAACAUUAAAGUUUACAUUCAGUUUACAAAAUGUUUUCUAUUAAAUCAUAAUUAUGUCAUUUUUGUCUUGUACAUUCAGAAACCCCUGAGAUAGAAUCUAACGGUGAGUGUCAUUGUGUGUUAAUGCACAUCAAACAAAAUUGUGCACCAUAUUAAUCAGAAGAAUGAGUGAUGUAGUCUUUUUAAUCGGGUUCCUCUCAUAGGCAAUGGACACAAACAGCUUCUGAAUGGAGGAGAAACAGGAUUUACAGGCAUGGAUCAUUUCAUGGCAGGCACAUCUCAGAUACAAGGAACAGGUAUAAAAGCAUGAUUUAAAAUCCUACCGAAAAACCAUUCAUUUCUGAGAUAGAAAAAAGUAUACUUACAGUGUUUUCAGUUUUUACUUUGUGUCACAGGAAUUAACAACAUUUUAAAAGUAUUAAAAUUAAGACUGUAUUUUUGAUCAGACUUCUUAAACAUUACUGAAACCAACCUUUAAUCUAGUGUAUACAUUUAAAAUCAAAAACUUUAUACAUAUUCACUAAAUAAUAAUGUGAGCAUCAGACCGUACUAGGAACUCAAACAUUUAACUGCACAUUUUUAUUGCAGGCAUAACAGAUCAGUCAAGCCAUGACUUCCUCGUUGGCUUGAUGGGUGAGCAUUUCUUUGUUCUCAUUAAUGAGUGGAAGAAAUACUGAAUGUGAUUCUCAGUGUGGACCAGAAUGUCUCCCUCUACAGGUGGAAUAGGAGAGACCUUUGGUCCAGACACCCAAACAGACGGGCUAGGUACGCUUUUAGACCUCUUAGACAGUCCUCCAGACGUUCCACACACAUACCUAGUAACUGACGCUGUCUCAACAGAUCACAUGGGACUCGCAUUUCAGGUGGAUUCGGCAGCCGCUGGCCUGAGUCCAGGGCACCCGUCCAGUGGCGGUCCGGUUCUAGAAGCUCCUCCAGGUAAUGGCUGCUGGCUGCCGCUCUGCGCUCCUUUAGGUCCUGUAAAUUUAGAGUGCUUUUACCCCAGUAGCCGUGGGAUUAUCCCAGCACACGUCUAA